rnacentral:lncRNA from 1 species
UUAGUUUGAGUUUUGCAACAGAUGGAUUGCGAUGGGUGCCAAACAAAUGUUGCAGCUCUCUCUUUAUGACGCUUUCUACGACGGUGCUAAACAACUGUCGCUGCAUUUCUAAGCAAAAUUAAGAGGCGCUAGUUUUUUUCCAAUCCCGCGUCUCAAUUUUUGCAAGUCCUGCUCUCUAAAAUUCUUCUCAUAUCUCUGCGACCCUUUUCUCCCAAAACCAAAAACCCUUUUCUCCCAAAUUUGUUCCCUUCAAAUUUCCGAAAUCCCUCGAUCUCCCCAUCUAUGCAGAAGUUUGAUAUCUCCAUCUCUGGAAUUGAAGCAAUUUCUUUUCUCUGCGGUAAGCUUCAUGUCAUUUAUCUUUUAUGCGAUAGAAUGCUUGGUGUUGGUUGAUAGUGAAUCUCAUUAUAUGAGCAUUUUAUUUGUGUUCUUGUUUAAAAUAUGAUUUUCUUCAUUACAAAGGGUUUAUCAUGUAUAUGAUAAGAUGAGGAACAAGUUUGGUGCAAAACCUAUGGUGUUUUUGUAUUAUAGACUUUUAAUGUUUUGGUAAGGACUUAGGACUGGGCAUUUGGAUUUGCGACACCUAACUUACAAGAUAUUUUCUUCAAAACUGUGAUUUACAAAGUCUCGCUUUCUGAUUUGCUUCCUUCAAAUCUCUCAAAUCCCUAAAACCUCAAUCUCCUCCAAAUAUCCUUGCUCUCACAAUUUCACCUUUAUCUCUUACUACCUUUCAAUUAGAUAUCUGUUCGUUGCAGCCUAUGGUACGAUUUCCUUUCGGUUGUUAGGGUUUUGAUUACACUGUUCCAAUUGGUGCUGACUUUUUGCUUCGAAUGCCAAUUCUGUGAAACAGGAGGAGAACGAUUGCAUGUAGUGUUAUCGAACGAUGAAGUACUUUCAGUUUUCUAUGUAUUGUAUCUAUUUCAACUUAUUUUAUGUUUUCUGAUAUUUAUAUUCUCUUCCAUUUAUGUUGUCUUUUAUGCAAUUUGGUAUUUUCAUUUGCAUUCAUUUAUCAAUAUGUGUUCUCUUCUAAACACACUGAUCACUAUGGAUAAUAGGUGAGCUUACAAGUUAUGCUAGCUAAGAUUAGAGAUACAAACUUAUAUAUAAUCCCAAAUUUUAACCAAGAAAAUUAGUUUUACAUCCUAUCAUUUUUCCUAUGUUUAGAAUAUGUUAGUGUGUGGGUUAGUUUUGUAUACACUGGUAAUGAUGAGUUGAUGUUUCAAGUGUUUAAAGUUAUGAUCAUGAAACAAUUUGCAAUGAUUGGCUUAGGUAAGAUUAGAUAUUUUUUAGGCAUUGAAGUUUUAGAAACGACACGGUGUCAAAAUAAAAACAUUUUUGUGUCUUAGUCGUUCUAAUACGUGUUAAGAUCAAUCAUUAGUAGUGAGAGGUUGAUGUGCACAUCACAGAUUUAGAGAUAAAACUUUUAGCAAAAGAGCAUAGAGAGGGAGAUAGAAAAAAACAUCUCAAAUUUCAUUAUCAAAUACAUGAUUUAAUAAACCAUAAAUCGAGAGGUUUCGCUUGUACUUCUAUUACAUGAGUUAUUAUAUACUUUUUUUUCCAGGCAACAAAUAUAGAAUCGCCAAAAGAUGGUAGACGUUCAUCUGAGUCUAGCUAUCAACCUGAUGAUCAUGGAACAACGUCAUUAUGGACUAAUUAGAUAUUUUGAGGAACUUCUAUGUUUGAUGUAGUUGUUUUGUAUGUUUAGCCACUCCAUUAAUUUUUUGAAUAUUUAAACUACUUUAUUUAUUGUUUUAGUUAACUUCAAUGUAGGAAUUGGUGUUAUUUCUUUUGAAAAAAUUAUAUAAGUUGGAUUUAGGUACAAUAGUUAUAUAAUUAUAUAUUUAAAUUAUG